GUGGGAGUUACAUUGAGAAUUCAAACAUAUCAUGAACCAAAACACUCACUGUCCCACCUUCGUCUCUGUCGCACCAGAAAUUGCCUCUGGUGGCGGCCGAGGUCGUAUCACCACCACAAUCACAUAAUAGAAACCCUUCUAUCACCCUUAUCAUAUUGAUUUUCCUCAAUUUUCAUCUAUUUCUUUAAAAUCAAAAACAUGGAGCUAUGAACCCUAACUAUUACAACCUAAAUUAAAUGGUGAUUACGUAUGAAUUUGAUUUCAAAGGUUAGGGCAAAUGUUCCUCAUAGUGAAUGCUACACGAUGAUAACAAGAUUAUGAUAAGAGGGAAAGAAUUUGAAUACCUCUGAAGCAGAGGUUUGCUCCGGUGAACAGUUAAAAUGGAGAAGAUGAUUGCAACCAGUUGGAUACUCUUGAAUCAGGUUGUUCUACUCACAUGAAGUCAUGCUAUCAAGAUUUGGAAUGAAGAUGCCAUGGAUGAAAUAUGAAGAAACAUGGUUACUUACAAGUGAAGAAACCUUGGCCAUGCGAUUAAAAGUUAGGAUGAAAACAUGAAGAACAAAGUGGAAACUAAAUCAUGUCAGAACUUUCGUAAUAGAAGUUACUCAGAUUGUACAAAUGUUUUAUAAUGAGAAACAUAACCAUAAA